AUCCAGCUGACGAGUCCUAAAUAAGACGAAGCGCGCAUCCUUGAU
rfam:Schistosoma rodhaini strain Burundi genome assembly, scaffold: SROB_scaffold0000862